rnacentral:rRNA from 1 species
GCCCAGACUCCUACGGGAGGCAGCAGUGGGGGAUAUUGCACAAUGGGGGGAACCCUGAUGCAGCGACGCCGCGUGGGUGAAGAAGCGCCUCGGCGCGUAAAGCCCUGUCAGCAGGGAAGAAAAUGACGGUACCUGAAGAAGAAGCCCCGGCUAACUACGUGCCAGCAGCCGCGGUAAUACGUAGGGGGCAAGCGUUAUCCGGAUUUACUGGGUGUAAAGGGAGCGUAGACGGCAGUGCAAGUCCGGAGUGAAAGCCCGGGGCUCAACUCCGGGACUGCUUUUGAAACUGUACAGCUUGAUUGCAGGAGAGGCAAGUGGAAUUCCUAGGGUAGCGGUGAAGUGCGUAGAUAUUAGGAGGAACACCAGUGGCGAAGGCGGCUUGCUGGACUGUACCUGACGCUGAGGCGCGAAAGCGUGGGUAGCGAACGGGAUUAGAUACCCGGGUAGC